rnacentral:rRNA from 1 species
UACAGAGACUGCAAGCGUUAUUCGGAUUCACUGGGCGUAAAGGGUGCGCAGGCGGCCGUGUGUGUGAGGCGUGAAAGCCUGGAGCUUAACUCCAGAAUUGCACCUCAAACUACAUGGCUAGAGCAUUGGAGAGGGUAGCAGAAUUCACGGUGUAGCAGUGAAAUGCGUAGAUAUCGUGAGGAAUACCAGAGGCGAAGGCGGCUACCUGGACAAUUGCUGACGCUCAGGCACGAAAGCGUGGGGAGCGAACAGG